rnacentral:rRNA from 1 species
UGGGGGACAACGUUUCGAAAGGAACGCUAAUACCGCAUACGUCCUACGGGAGAAAGCAGGGGACCUUCGGGCCUUGCGCUAUCAGAUGAGCCUAGGUCGGAUUAGCUAGUUGGUGAGGUAAUGGCUCACCAAGGCGACGAUCCGUAACUGGUCUGAGAGGAUGAUCAGUCACACUGGAACUGAGACACGGUCCAGACUCCUACGGGAGGCAGCAGUGGGGAAUAUUGGACAAUGGGCGAAAGCCUGAUCCAGCCAUGCCGCGUGUGUGAAGAAGGUCUUCGGAUUGUAAAGCACUUUAAGUUGGGAGGAAGGGCAUUAACCUAAUACGUUAGUGUUUUGACGUUACCGACAGAAUAAGCACCGGCUAACUCUGUGCCAGCAGCCGCGGUAAUACAGAGGGUGCAAGCGUUAAUCGGAAUUACUGGGCGUAAAGCGCGCGUAGGUGGUUUGUUAAGUUGGAUGUGAAAUCCCCGGGCUCAACCUGGGAACUGCAUCCAAAACUGGCAAGCUAGAGUAGGGUAGAGGGUGGUGGAAUUUCCUGUGUAGCGGUGAAAUGCGUA